rnacentral:tRNA from 1 species
GCUCCCAUAGCUUAGUGGUAAAGCACUCGCCUCUUAAGCGAAGUACCUUGGUUCGAUUCCAAGUGGGAGCA